UACAGAGGUCUCAAGCGUUGUUCGGAUUCAUUGGGCGUAAAGGGUGCGUAGGUGGCGCCGUAAGUCGGGUGUGAAAUUUCGGAGCUUAACUCCGAAACUGCAUUCGAUACUGCGGUGCUUGAGGACUGGAGAGGAGACUGGAAUUCAUGGUGUAGCAGUGAAAUGCGUAGAGAUCAUGAGGAACACCAGUGGCGAAGGCGGCUUACUGGUCCGGUUCUGACGCUGAGGCGCGAAAGCGUGGGGAGCAAACAGGG
rnacentral:rRNA from 1 species